ACUAUCAUUAACUGAAUCCAUAGGUUAAUGAGGCGAACCGGGGGAACUGAAACAUCUAAGUACCCCGAGGAAAAGAAAUCAACCGAGAUUCCCCCAGUAGCGGCGAGCGAACGGGGAGGAGCCCAGAGCCUGAAUCAGCAUGUGUGUUAGUGGAAGCGUCUGGAAAGGCGCGCGAUACAGGGUGACAGCCCCGUACACAAAAGCGCAUGUGCUGUGAGCUCGAUGAGUAGGGCGGGACACGUGGUAUCCUGUCUGAAUAUGGGGGGACCAUCCUCCAAGGCUAAAUACUCCUGACUGACCGAUAGUGAACCAGUACCGUGAGGGAAAGGCGAAAAGAACCCCGGCGAGG
rnacentral:rRNA from 2 species